rnacentral:rRNA from 1 species
UACGUAGGGACCAAGCGUUGUUCGGAUUUACUGGGCGUAAAGGGCGCGUAGGCGGCAAUUCAAGUCAGCUGUGAAAUCUCCGAGCUUAACUCGGAACGGUCAGCUGAUACUGUUUUGCUAGAGUACAGAAGGGGCAAUCGGAAUUCUUGGUGUAGCGGUGAAAUGCGUAGAUAUCAAGAGGAACACCUGAGGUGAAGACGGGUUGCUGGGCUGAUACUGACGCUGAGGAGCGAAAGCGUGGGGAGCGAACAGG